GGCUCGCCAACUCGGUCCAGAGCUUCCCGGUGCGCGGCCCGCGGCCUCCGCUGUUCGCCACUCUGCGCGGCGUGGGCUCGUCCGAGCACCGAAACUUUCACUCGGGCAAGAGCGAGCGAGCGAGCAAGCUGGGACGCAGGCUCCACCCGGCCGGCGCCAGAGGGGACGCGCGUCCACGCAACCCCGCUUCGCGGAGCCGAAGGGCCCGGUCGCCGCAGCCGGCUCGCGUCCGAGGAGCGCUGUCAGGGCCAAGGCCAGGGCCCGGGACGCCCGGCUCCCGUCCCUCCCGCGGUCAGACCACGAACGCUGACAAACAAUAAACAAAAGUUCUCCUCUCUCCUGGGAAAAAAGUACACCUCCCUCCACCUCUUCCUCCUCCUCUCCCUCACUUUAGUUUUCAGCCUGCCACAUAUGUAACCCUUUCUUAAAAUUCCAAAAGGAAGGAAGAGGGUAUCACGUUGAAAGACACUGGCACACAGAAGAAUCUGCACCUCAGUGGAGGUUAUAUAGCUAGAGAGUCUCUGAAAAGAGGAAAUUCCUGUGGGAAUGCCCACUGUGCAAGCGAAGGUGAAGUGAUGUUUUAAGGCCACUCUCAUUCAGAACUAUUAAAAAAAAAAAAAAAAAAAAAAAA